GCGAUUCAUUCCAGCAAUUCUUAUCCCACAGAUGAGCCUCAUAUCUGCCCGUCCAUCGAUGCCUAGGGUUUACAGAAGCGCAAUCGAAGUCAGAAUCAGUCGACAGAGACAGAGAGAGACGAAGAAGAAGAAGAAGCUUGUAGAGAAGCAAGCAAGGGCGAUGAAUAAAACCUAGUAACGCCGCGGUAAAUGGAGCUUCGUUGAGGAGGCGAAUCUCUCGUUGUUGCGAUGUGGAUUUCGCCAUUGUGAAAUUUCCAAGAAGUUUAAAAUUGACGAUAAAAGUUAUGAAGGAAGGAAAUAGGUUAUAUAAUCUCGAGAUCGGAGGCGAUGAUGAGUGGAGUUAGGGCUGGCGUUCAAUUGAAUAUAGAGCUAGCUGUAAGGUAACCGGCCAUGGACCUUAUCCUUUUCUUCUUAUUUUGCUAAUGCUUCAUCAAUCGGUUUUUUA